rnacentral:sRNA from 1 species
GGAUAUGAGGGGGAACUGGUUGUGACAUCUGUCAACACAUUGAUUUCCAGGGUUGAUGCAGAUGGUCUAAGCUGAUACUCUGAUCUCUCUCCCCACCCUAUUUGUGCACUUCCAAAGCUACCUGCUUGUUCAAAUGAGUGGCCUUCUCUAGGUGGACCAGGAAGGGCAUUUCUUUUAAAAUUGUUUUCCUUGGUAUAAUUUUUAUAUGUGUUAACAAUUUAU